rnacentral:rRNA from 1 species
GCUCUUGCAUCGAUGAAGAACGUAGCGAAAUGCGAUACUUGGUGUGAAUUGCAGAAUCCCGUGAACCAUCGAGUCUUUGAACGCAAGUUGCGCCCGAAGCCAUUAGGCUGAGGGCACGCCUGCCUGGGUGUUGCACAUCGUUGCCCCAGUGCCUUGGCCACGU